AUUGAACGCUGGCGGCAGGCCUAACACAUGCAAGUCGAACGGUAACAGGAAGCAGCUUGCUGCUUCGCUGACGAGUGGCGGACGGGUGAGUAAUAUCUGGGAAGCUGCCUGAUGGAGGGGGAUAACUACUGGAAACGGUAGCUAAUACCGCAUAAUGUCGCAAGACCAAAGAGGGGGACCUUCGGGCCUCUUGCCAUCGGAUGUGCCCAGAUGGGAUUAGCUUGUUGGUGGGGUAACGGCUCACCAAGGCGACGAUCCCUAGCUGGUCUGAGAGGAUGACCAGCCACACUGGAACUGAGACACGGUCCAGACUCCUACGGGAGGCAGCAGUGGGGAAUAUUGCACAAAGGGCGCAAGCCUGAUGCAGCCAUGCCGCGUGUAUGAAGAAGGCCUUCGGGUUGUAAAGUACUUUCAGCGGGGAGGAAGGGAGUAAAGUUAAUACCUUUGCUCAUUGACGUUACCCGCAGAAGAAGCACCGGCUAACUCCGUG
rnacentral:rRNA from 1 species